AUAAGCGCUAGGGACGGAGAUAACACCGACCUCGGAACAAAGCUUGGACCAGUUCUUUCUGUCUCUUCGCUAAUCGCUCCUUUCUUUCCAGUAGAGAGAGAAGCCCAUAGAUGAUGAUCUAGCUCAUUCGCGUACACUGCUUAUUAUAUAUAUAUAUGUGUGUGUUAGAUGAGUGUGUGAAUGAGAACCCAGCCUUCGUUGCUCUCCCUGGCAAUAGACACUGCUGUUCUUCAUCUUUCUCACUUCUCCGAUCUCUCAUCCCUUCCUGAUCACAUCCUCCUCGAUCUCCUUGGGGUGCACUUGAUAGAUUAUUUGGAGAUGGACCCUGGGGUAGGUGAUGGUGUAAGGCCUUAGACGUUGAUAAGAGAACUUUGAAAGCUGGAAAGCUGAAU
rnacentral:misc_RNA from 1 species